rnacentral:rRNA from 1 species
GAUGAACGCUGGAGGCGUGCCUAAUACAUGCAAGUCGAGCGAACAGACGAGGAGCUUGCUCCUCUGACGUUAGCGGCGGACGGGUGAGUAACACGUGGAUAACCUACCUAUAAGACUGGGAUAACUUCGGGAAACCGGAGCUAAUACCGGAUAAUAUAUUGAACCGCAUGGUUCAAUAGUGAAAGACGGUUUUGCUGUCACUUAUAGAUGGAUCCGCGCCGCAUUAGCUAGUUGGUAAGGUAACGGCUUACCAAGGCAACGAUGCGUAGCCGACCUGAGAGGGUGAUCGGCCACACUGGAACUGAGACACGGUCCAGACUCCUACGGGAGGCAGCAGUAGGGAAUCUUCCGCAAAGGGCGAAAGCCUGACGGAGCAACGCCGCGUGAGUGAUGAAGGUCUUCGGAUCGUAAAACUCUGUUAUUAGGGAAGAACAAAUGUGUAAGUAACUAUGCACGUCUUGACGGUACCUAAUCAGAAAGCCACGGCUAACUACGUG